GUAGGGGGCAAGCGUUGUCCGGAUUUAUUGGGCGUAAAGAGCGUGUAGGCGGCCAUACAGGUCUGCUGUGAAAACUCGAGGCUCAACCUCGAGCUGUCGGUGGAAACCGUAUGGCUAGAGUCCGGAAGAGGAGAGUGGAAUUCCCGGUGUAGCGGUGAAAUGCGCAGAUAUCGGGAAGAACACCCGUGGCUAAGGCGGCUCUCUAGUACGGUACUGACGCUGAGACGCGAAAGCGUGGGGAGCGAACAGGAUUAGAUACCCUGGUAGUCCACGCUGUAAACGAUGGGUGCUAGGUGUGGGAGGUGUCGACUCCUUCCGUGCCGAAGCUAACGCAUUAAGCACCCCGCCUGGGGAGUACGGCCGCAAGG
rnacentral:rRNA from 1 species